GACGAACGCUGGCGGCGUGCUUAACACAUGCAAGUCGAACGGAAAGGCCCUGCUUGCAGGGUACUCGAGUGGCGAACGGGUGAGUAACACGUGGGUGAUCUGCCCUGCACUUCGGGAUAAGCCUGGGAAACUGGGUCUAAUACCGGAUAGGAGCCAUUUUUAGUGUGAUGGUUGGAAAGUUUUUUCGGUGUAGGAUGAGCUCGCGGCCUAUCAGCUUGUUGGUGGGGUAAUGGCCUACCAAGGCGGCGACGGGUAGCCGGCCUGAGAGGGUGGACGGCCACAUUGGGACUGAGAUACGGCCCAGACGCCUACGGGAGGCAGCAGUGGGGAAUAUUGCACAAUGGGCGCAAGCCUGAUGCAGCGACGCCGCGUGGGGGAUGACGGCCUUCGGGUUGUAAACUCCGUUCGCUAGGGACGAAGCUUUUUGUGACGGUACCUAGAGAAGAAGCACCGGCUAACUACGUG
rnacentral:rRNA from 1 species